GGCGAACGGGUGAGUAACACGUGACCAACCUGUCUUCAGGCGGGGGACAACCUGGGGAAACCCGGGCUAAUACCGCAUGAUGUCUUUUCUUCUCGUGGAGAAUAGACCAAAGGGGGCCUCUACUUGUAAGCUCCCACCUGAUGAGGGGGUCGCGACGUAUCAGCUUGUUGGUGAGGUAACGGCUCUCCAAGGCUACGACGCGUAGCGGGUCUGAGAGGACGAUCCGCCACAUUGGGACUGAGAUACGGCCCAGACUCCUACGGGAGGCAGCAGUGGGGAAUAUUGCGCAAUGGGCGAAAGCCUGACGCAGCGACGCCGCGUGUGGGAGGAAGCCUUUCGGGGUGCAAACCACUGUCAGGGGGGAAGAAACCCGGGCAUCCAAAUAGGGUGCUUGAUUGACGGUACCUCCAAAGGAAGCGCCGGCUAACUCCGUGCCAGCAGCCGCGGUAAGACGGAGGGCGCAAGCGUUGUUCGGA
rnacentral:rRNA from 1 species